GGGAAAUGAGCUCUCAAGGCUGGCAUCAUUGCCGGAGUGGAGGGGACUUCAGAAGAGAGAGACAAAGAUGAGAAUGGUCUUGAAGGAGUAGUGAUGGACCAUCUGACAUUCACAGGGGUGAAGACAGUGGUGGAAGUUACGUGGGUGUAUGUCAGGAACUGGGUAGUACAACUUUGACUGGUUUGGCAUUCUAGCUUCUUACAAGAGUGUGGGCCAAAUUCUGCUCUUCUUUCUAGUGGUGUAAGCCUGCUAAAGUCAGUGAAGUUGUCCUGAGACGCCUGAGAGUAGGAUUUUGACUAUUAUUUGAAAUGACAGCGGGAAGACUCAGUAGUUACGAAGUAAUUGUAAGUGUUAAUCCCCAAGCUGUCAACACUCUUUAAAAAGUAUAGCUUUUUCCCAUGUGAGCCAUUAAAUUUCACAAUCAAGGGAAAAAGUGGUGGUGGCUAACAGUCCAUUGGUGGUGAAUAAGAACUUGCCUAUUUGUACCACUAGGUAUAAGUAGAGCACAAUGAAACUGCAAUCAACUGGAGGGGAAAAAAAGAUGUAAAGAAUUCCAGUUAGAAAUCCUGAAACUUGUUACUGUGAAAUAUAGAUUUUAAUGCCCUAAAGACAUUAAAACUACAAUGCCCAUUCAAAGGGUCUGACAUACAGAAGAAAGAAGAGCUUAAGUUUUAAAACACAAGAAAAUGAGGUGAAGACUAAAAUAUAAAAACUUUGGAGGUGUGUGGUUUGAAAGGAGCAAGCCUCAAGGCUAUAAAGCUGCAUUAACGACUCUCAGCAUGCAGCUCAAAAGCCUACAACCCUUGGGCCAGCAGAGGGUCAGUCCUGU